GUUUAAAAGUAGCCUAAGCUUAUUUUUAUUCACGUGGACUGCCCACGUAAUAAAUGAUGUAGGCAUAGACUAUAUAAGCACAACGUAGUGUCGGUUUUUAAACUAUUUCUUGUUAGAACUUUAAUAAACUAUCGUUUGCAGGUUGCAGCCUUCAAGUUGAGAUAACCAAGAUGGCCACAUUAAAAGAACGGUGGAUGGAGUUUGUAAGAAAACAAUCUGAGAAGACUGCCAGAGAUCCAAACUCCAAGGCAAAGGUCAUGGCGGGUGUGGUCAUCUUACUAUUGAUCUGGACACAGAUACCUAAAGCCCAAGGCUCUGCCAUCGCAUGUGGACCUUGUGUAACCUGGGCGGCCCAAUGGUGUACAGGACUUAUUGCAGCAGGGGGAGCCUGUGCCCCAGUAGCAUUUAUUCCCCCAGCUCUCUGUGCCUGUCUCUUGGCUUCUGGAGGACUGAUAUGUGCUGGAGCAGCAACAACUUGCGCAGUUGUCUGCCUUAUUCCUACACCAUAAACAAUACACAUUUUGAAAUCAUUAUAAAAGUACCAUUUUUUAUGGCUCUGCACCAAAUGUUGCACUGACCAUUAUCUUGAAUUUUUACUUCUUUUCAUAAGCUAGUAACAUAUGUUUAAAGAGAGCCACGCUGUUGUUGUGAGGCUAGUAGAAAUAAAAAUGUUAAACAUGA